UUGACUAUACUUUCAGGGAUCAUUUCUAUAGUUCAUUACUAGAGAAGUUUCUCAGAAUGUAUAGAGAGAGAAAAAAAAGAAU
rfam:Pongo abelii chromosome 1.